rnacentral:misc_RNA from 1 species
CCAAUAGCGUAUAUUAAAGUUGUUGUAGUUAAAAAGCUCGUAGUUGAACUUCGGGGUUUACUUAUUGGUCAGGCUUAAUUGUCUGCACUGGUGAGAUGAAUCUCUACCUUCUGAGGAACUUUCAUGCCAUUUAUUUGGUGUGAUUGGAAAUCAGGACUGUUACUUUGAAAAAAUUAGAGUGUUUAAAGCAGGCUAACGUCUGAAUACAUUAGCAUGGAAUAAUGAAAUAGGACGGACUGAUUCUAUUUCGUUGGUUUCUAGGAUCACCGUAAUGAUUAAUAGGGAUAGUUGGGGGCAUUAGUAUUCAAUUGUCAGAGGUGAAAUUCUUGGAUUUAUUGAAGACUAACUACUGCGAAAGCAUUUGCCAAGGAUGUUUUCAUUAAUCAAGAACGAAAGUUAGGGGAUCGAAGACGAUCAGAUACCGUCGUAGUCUUAACCAUAAACUAUGCCGACUAGGGAUCGGACGAAGUUAAUUUUAUAAUGACGCGUUCGGCACCUUACG